GGGUGGUUGGCUCAGUGGUUAAAGCCUAGGUCUUGGGAGUGAAAGGUCCCGGGUUCGAAUCUCACAAGAGGUA
rnacentral:tRNA from 1 species